GAGUGAUGUGAUGGCAUACCAUCUUUCGGGACUGACCCAUAAAGAAUGGAGAGAAUUACAUCUUGACUGAUCACUC